UCUCAUUCCACACAGGGAUCCCGGCCCAGACCAGAGCAGCCCGGCCUCGGAAGAUCAGAUCCAGUAUGCUGAGGUCACCAGAGCCCGCGUCGACAUGACCAAGGUGGACAGGAACGAGACCGUGACCUACGCGGCCGUAGGAAAGGGCACCUCUAGAGCACAGGACACCCGGCUGGCUCCAUAGCGCUGGGACUCCCAGGCCCAGCGAGAAGCAGCCUGUGGCAAGUCGAUGGAGCAGGGGAGGCUCAGACUCCUCGUGGGCAGUGGGAGCCAGCGGUGGCCCAGGCCGGGUCUCCUGUCACAGCCCGUUGCUCUAGUUCCAGCAGAACCUUCCUGGCCAACGUUUCCACCUCAGAGGCCGGCCAUAAAGUCCUUGUACAACUGUGCACGUAGAGGGGCCGGCGGCCACAAGCCAUUGCACAGCAGCCGCCUGACAUGUACAGCCCGGCACAGGACAUGCUAAUGUGACCUGGAUGCACCCUGGUCAGCUGCAGCUGGAAUCAAACCUGGGACCUCCCGAACUGAGAGCACGAGCCUCUGUGUGAUCUCGCUGCUCACUAAGGCUGUAAGGCAGCCUCACCAGUCUCUCUGCAGAUGGGCCAGUACAACACACCCAGAAGUGUGUUUGUGGGAAUCACACAAAAACAUGGGAAAAGGGGCUCCAAGGUGCCUCCAAACAGCUCCUGCAUGUGAGUGUCUAGGAAGCAGACACGCAGCCAAAUCUCUCUGACGGCGAGGCUGGGGAGCAGGGCAGUGUGGGGGUGCCUGCGUGGGCAUGUCUGCUCCAGUGACACAUUGUAACGCUGCCUUGGGGGGAUGUGCCGGGGUCUCUAAGCGUGGACAGGGGGCAGAUUUUUGGAGCCAUUGAAGAGCCUAACUCCCUUGAAUAUUAGUGAGAGUGAGGUGCCU